rnacentral:rRNA from 1 species
GAUGAACGCUGGCGGCGUGCCUAAUACAUGCAAGUCGAGCGAACAGACGAGGAGCUUGCUCCUCUGACGUUAGCGGCGGACGGGUGAGUAACACGUGGAUAACCUACCUAUAAGACUGGGAUAACUUCGGGAAACCGGAGCUAAUACCGGAUAAUAUAUUGAACCGCAUGGUUCAAUAGUGAAAGACGGUUUUGCUGUCACUUAUAGAUGGAUCCGCGCCGCAUUAGCUAGUUGGUAAGGUAACGGCUUACCAAGGCAACGAUGCGUAGCCGACCUGAGAGAGUGAUCGGCCACACUGGAACUGAGACACGGUCCAGACUCCUACGGGAGGCAGCAGUAGGGAAUCUUCCGCAAGGGGCGAAAGCCUGACGGAGCAACGCCGCGUGAGUGAUGAAGGGCUUCGGAUCGUAAAACUCUGUUAUUAGGGAAGAACAAAUGUGUAAGUAACUAUGCACGUCUUGACGGUACCUAAGCAGAAAGCCACGGCUAACUACGU